AGGGGUAACGGGGACAAAGCCUAGUGGUACAUACAAUCCCAGAACUUUAGAGGCAGGGACAGGAGGAUCCCCAGUUGGAAGUUAGCCUGUACUACACAGAAAUGCUCCAUUUUAGUUGGCGACAAUGGAAACAAAGAGAAAGAAGAGGAGAAGGUGGAGGGGAAGCCUGAGCAGCUAGCAGCAGGGGGAAACACAGAGGAGGAAAUUGUGACCAUAAAAAGGUUGAACGGAGUGAACACAAGCCCCAAGGAGGAUUCGAGACUUGAUUCCUUUCAGAAUCAAUGACUGGCUGAGAAUUUCCUCAGAAACAGUUGUCAUCAUCGCUUUUUGUCAGAUUUAUUUAAGAAGCAAAGAUGACGAUGGUACACACACUGCCAGCAACAGUCAAACACAAGGAAUUCUGGGAAGCCAAGCUUCUGUUUGCCGUCUUCAGGGGUUCCAGACUAGAGGUAAACAACGAUCAAAGCGAACAGCUCAUUUUUGGUCAGCCAAUCUAGGUUUUAAAAAAUGAAUCGAAUGUCUCUGUAGCGUUAGGUGAGAACGCCCCUCCCCUACACACCUGUCCAUCUUUCCCAUCACUCAGGGUCCUUUAGUUACAAU
rnacentral:lncRNA from 1 species